rnacentral:tRNA from 1 species
GGGAAUGUAGCUUAGUGGUAGAGUGCUUGCCUAACAGGCAGGAAGCCCUGGGUUCAAUUCCUUAGUGCCA